CUGCUGACGCUAUCAGAUGAGCCUAGGUCGGAUUAGCUAGUUGGUGCAGUGUAAUGGGCUCACCAAGGCGACGAUCCGUAACUGGUCUGAGAGGAUGAUCAGUCACACUGGAACUGAGACACGGUCCAGACUCCUACGGGAGGCAGCAGUGGGGAAUAUUGGACAAUGGGCGAAAGCCUGAUCCAGCCAUGCCGCGUGUGUGAAGAAGGUCUUCGGAUUGUAAAGCACUUUAAGUUGGGAGGAAGGGCAGUAAGUUAAUACCUUGCUGUUUUGACGUUACCAACAGAAUAAGCACCGGCUAACUCUGUGCCAGCAGCCGCGGUAAUACAGAGGGUGCAAGCGUUAAUCGGAAUUACUGGGCGUAAAGCGCGUGUAGGUGGUUCGUUAAGUUGGAUGUGAAAGCCCCGGGCUCAACCUGGGAACUGCAGUCGAUACUGGGUAUCUAGAGUAUGGCAGAGGAUAGUGGAAUUCCCGGUGUAGCAGUGAAAUGCGUAGAUAUAGGAAGGAACACCAGUG
rnacentral:rRNA from 1 species